CAGGCCUAACACAUGCAAGUCGAGCGGACCAUUCCUUCGGGGAUGGUUAGCGGCGGACGGGUGAGUAACACGUAGGCAACCUGCCUGUAAGAUCGGGAUAACUACCGGAAACGGUAGCUAAGACCGGAUAGCUGGUUUCUCCGCAUGGGGGAAUCAUGAAACACGGGGCAACCUGUGGCUUACGGAUGGGCCUGCGGCGCAUUAGCUAGUUGGUGGGGUAACGGCCCACCAAGGCGACGAUGCGUAGCCGACCUGAGAGGGUGAUCGGCCACACUGGGACUGAGACACGGCCCAGACUCCUACGGGAGGCAGCAGUAGGGAAUCUUCCGCAAUGGGCGCAAGCCUGACGGAGCAACGCCGCGUGAGUGAUGAAGGUUUUCGGAUCGUAAAGCUCUGUUGCCAAGGAAGAACGCCUCGGAGAGUAACUGCUCUGAGGGUGACGGUACUUGAGAAGAAAGCCCCGGCUAACUACGUGCCAGCAGCCGCGGUAAUACGUAGGGGGCAUGCGUUGUCCGGAAUUAUUGGGCGUAAAGCGCGCGCAGGCGGUCUUUUAAGUUUGGUGUUUAAGCCCGGGGCUCAACCCCGGUUCGCACUGAAAACUGGGAGACUUGAGUGCAGGAGAGGAAAGCGGAAUUCCACGUGUAGCGGUGAAAUGCGUAGAGAUGUGGAGGAACACCAGUGGCGAAGGCGGCUUUCUGGACUGUAACUGACGCUGAGGCGCGAAAGCGUGGGGAGCAAACAGGAUUAGAU
rnacentral:rRNA from 1 species